rnacentral:misc_RNA from 1 species
GAAAUGCGAUAAGCAAUGCGAAUUGCAGAAUUCCGCGAAUCAUCAGAUCUUUGAACGCAAAUGGCGCCAGAGGGAUAUCCUUUUGGCAUGUCUGUUUCAGUGUCUGAGAGGUUUCAUCCAAAUCUUAAUGUGAUUGAUGGGUUGAUUGUUGGAAUAGCAAUACUAUUCCUACUCUCAAAUCAUCUCUCAUGAAAUAUGGGUGAGUGGAUCUUUCGGUCCCAUGCAGUGGUCACAUCACUCGCAUGUGAUUUCAUUGGGAAAUCACCGAAUUAUCCGUAUACUCACUGUACCAUAAUCAUACUAUUACUGUUAGCAAUAGCAGUAGUGGUAGAACCUUCCAUACCCUGCAUCUGAGAUAGGCAAGAUCACCCGCUGAACUUAA